GUGGGGAAUAUUGGACAAUGGGCGAAAGCCUGAUCCAGCCAUGUCGCGUGUGUGAAGAAGGUCUUCGGAUUGUAAAGCACUUUAAGUUGGGAGGAAGGGCAGUAAGUUAAUACCUUGCUGUUUUGACGUUACCGACAGAAUAAGCACCGGCUAACUUCGUGCCAGCAGCCGCGGUAAUACGAAGGGUGCAAGCGUUAAUCGGAAUUACUGGGCGUAAAGCGCGCGUAGGUGGUUUUGUAAGUUGGAGGUGAAAUCCCCGGGCUCAACCUGGGAACUGCCACCAAAACUGCAUGACUAGAGUACGGUAGAGGGUAGUGGAAUUUCCUGUGUAGCGGUGAAAUGCGUAGAUAUAGGAAGGAACACCAGUGGCGAAGGCGACUACCUGGACUGAUACUGACACUGAGGUGCGAAAGCGUGGGGAGCAAACAGGAUUAGAUACCCGGGUAGUCC
rnacentral:rRNA from 1 species